UACGUAGGGUGCAAGCGUUAAUCGGAAUUACUGGGCGUAAAGCGUGCGCAGGCGGUUUUGUAAGUCUGACGUGAAAUCCCCGGGCUCAACCUGGGAAUUGCGUUGGAGACUGCAAGGCUAGAAUCUGGCAGAGGGGGGUAGAAUUCCACGUGUAGCAGUGAAAUGCGUAGAGAUGUGGAGGAACACCGAUGGUGAAGGCAGCCCCCUGGGUCAAGAUUGACGCUCAUGCACGAAAGCGUGGGGAGCAAACAGG
rnacentral:rRNA from 1 species